rnacentral:lncRNA from 1 species
UACAUCAAAAGGAAUAGAAAAAUUAGCUCCACGAAAGCAUGAGGAAUGUACAACAAAGAUGGAGUUGGCAAAAGAAGUAGCGAUGCACAGUCUUAGUUAAAAUUAGUGCUGUAAAAAUAUCACAAAUGAUCUUCAUCUCUCACUUUUAUAUUGCAUGAUAUGUACUUGCAUUUUCAAGGAUUGAUAUGACAAAGGCAUUUUAUUCUGCUAUCCAAACAUCGUGUCAUCCUUUGUUUACCCCAUUUGAGCUUUAGUCCUAUUUUCUUUCAUACCUCUUUUGGAAUCAAGAUAGAGUCAGAAAAGCUCAAAAGAAAAGUGUCGAGCAAAACAAUAGAGUCAG